CCCUUAGAUGUUCUGGGCUGCACGCGCGCUACACUGAUGCGCUCAACGAGUUUACGACCUUGCCCGGAAGGGUUGGGUAAUCUUUUUAAAACGCAUCGUGAUGGGGAUAGAUUAUUGCAAUUAUUAAUCUUUAACGAGGAAUUCCUAGUAAGCGCGAGUCAUCAGCUCGUGCUGAUUACGUCCCUGCCCUUUGUACACACCGCCCGUCGCUCCUACCGAUUGAAUGCUCAGGUGAGCCAUUCGGACCUUCAUCAUGCCGGUUUCCGGUUUUGAUGAGGGAAAGUCUUGCGAACCUUAUCAUUUAGAGGAAGGAGAAGUCGUAACA
rnacentral:rRNA from 1 species